rnacentral:rRNA from 1 species
GAUGAACGCUGGCGGCGUGCCUAAUACAUGCAAGUCGAGCGAACGGACGAGAAGCUUGCUUCUCUGAUGUUAGCGGCGGACGGGUGAGUAACACGUGGAUAACCUACCUAUAAGACUGGGAUAACUUCGGGAAACCGGAGCUAAUACCGGAUAAUAUUUUGAACCGCAUGGUUCAAAAGUAAAAGACGGUCUUGCUGUCACUUAUAGAUGGAUCCGCGCUGCAUUAGCUAGUUGGUAAGGUAACGGCUUACCAAGGCAACGAUGCAUAGCCGACCUGAGAGGGUGAUCGGCCACACUGGAACUGAGACACGGUCCAGACUCCUACGGGAGGCAGCAGUAGGGAAUCUUCCGCAAUGGGCGAAAGCCUGACGGAGCAACGCCGCGUGAGUGAUGAAGGUCUUCGGAUCGUAAAACUCUGUUAUUAGGGAAGAACAUAUGUGUAAGUAACUGUGCACAUCUUGACGGUACCUAAUCAGAAAGCCACGGCUAACUACGUGCCAGCAGCCGCGGUAAUACGUAGGUGGCAAGCGUUAUCCGGAAUUAUUGGGCGUAAAGCGCGCGUAGGCGGUUUUUUAAGUCUGAUGUGAAAGCCCACGGCUCAACCGUGGAGGGUCAUUGGAAACUGGAAAACUUGAGUGCAGAAGAGGAAAGUGGAAUUCCAUGUGUAGCGGUGAAAUGCGCAGAGAUAUGGAGGAACACCAGUGGCGAAGGCCACUUUCUGGUCUGUAACUGACGCUGAUGUGCGAAAGCGUGGGGAUCAAACAGGAUUAGAUACCCUGGUAGUCCACGCCGUAAACGAUGAGUGCUAAGUGUUAGGGGGUUUCCGCCCCUUAGUGCUGCAGCUAACGCAUUAAGCACUCCGCCUGGGGAGUACGACCGCAAGGUUGAAACUCAAAGGAAUUGACGGGGACCCGCACAAGCGGUGGAGCAUGUGGUUUAAUUCGAAGCAACGCGAAGAACCUUACCAAAUCUUGACAUCCUUUGACAACUCUAGAGAUAGAGCCUUCCCCUUCGGGGGACAAAGUGACAGGUGGUGCAUGGUUGUCGUCAGCUCGUGUCGUGAGAUGUUGGGUUAAGUCCCGCAACGAGCGCAACCCUUAAGCUUAGUUGCCAUCAUUAAGUUGGGCACUCUAAGUUGACUGCCGGUGACAAACCGGAGGAAGGUGGGGAUGACGUCAAAUCAUCAUGCCCCUUAUGAUUUGGGCUACACACGUGCUACAAUGGACAAUACAAAGGGCAGCGAAACCGCGAGGUCAAGCAAAUCCCAUAAAGUUGUUCUCAGUUCGGAUUGUAGUCUGCAACUCGACUACAUGAAGCUGGAAUCGCUAGUAAUCGUAGAUCAGCAUGCUACGGUGAAUACGUUCCCGGGUCU